AGGCUGAGAUGGCAGAUGAGAUCGCCAAGGCUCAGGCCGCGCGGCCUGGUGGCGACACAAUCUUCGGGAAGAUCAUUCGCAAGGAAAUCCCAGCCAAAAUCAUUUUUGAGGAUGACCAGUGUCUUGCUUUCCAUGACAUUUCCCCUCAAGCACCAACUCAUUUUCUGGUGAUACCCAAGAAACAUAUAUCCCAGAUUUCUGUAGCAGAAGAUGAUGAUGAAAGUCUUCUUGGACAUUUAAUGAUUGUUGGCAAGAAAUGUGCUGCGGAUUUGGGCCUGAAGAAGGGUUAUCGAAUGGUGGUGAAUGAAGGUUCAGAUGGGGGACAGUCUGUCUAUCAUGUUCAUCUCCGUGUUCUUGGAGGUCGGCAGAUGAAUUGGCCUCCUGAUUAAGCUUGUUUUAGGGAUGAUUUUCCCUCCUCGAGGCAGUGGUCAAUAUUUCCCAGUUCUGCAGGUUAAACAAUGUACUUCCUUUUGCCUAUGUAUGGAGAGAUUGAGGAAAUAAUUUUUAAAAUCCAUACAUAAUAAAAGGCAAUG